UCACGUGCUGCGGUCUGACCUCUCCCGACAACUGGGCCGACCCCAGUGCACAAACCGUCUGCGCAUGCCCCACGGCGGAUCUGGGCACCAACAAGUGCGAAGAUGUAGGCGGCACAGAGUACAGGCUGUCGUGCGUGGACGAGCUGAAGUUGUACCUGGAGCAGAACAUCAUCAUCGUAGGAGCGGUGGCGCUGGGGGUCGCUGCUGUAGAGGUCUUUGGGAUCAUCUUCGCCUGCGUCCUAUUGCGACAGGCGGACAAGGAAACCAGUGGUAUCGCAUAGCCAUGUUUUUGCCUAUUGACGGAGGAAUAUAUCUUAUGACGUAGUUCUUGGACAUUCCAAACAGUAAAACAAUUGUUAUUGAAGAAAUUGCUACCACCAGAGUUGAAUAAUUGAAAUAUCAAGUCGUUUGUAUCAGAGCCUGGCCAGUCAAAGUAGAAGUAGCAGAAUGACCAAAACGUUCGCUAUUGGCCAAAAAUGAAACGUGGAUAUUAAUAUUGUUAAUUUUAGUUACUUUAUCAUGUACUUUACUGCAUUCAAUACAGGUAACCAUUACCUCAUGUAAGAAAGUCAAUUAGCUUUGAAAAUAAUGUUCUUUCACAUGUAUUUUUCAUAUCACACUUAGUGCAUUGGUGUACAUUUUUUUUUUCAAUUGAUUUGAUUUCCACUUUUUAACAAGUAAUCAGAUGUCUCAUUUGGGACAAUAUGAUAGAGCCAGGGAACAUGUUGUUAGUAACACGCACCAAGUUUUUGUAUUGUUUCUGUUCCUGUUUUAGUAUUUGUUAUUACGUUGGUCGCGAAUCUAAAGUAAGGACGUGCUGCUAUGGCAAAUUGUUAUUUUGGGAGUCUUGUCAUGUAUCGAAAAAUGUCACACAACUAAGGCAAAUUGAUAUAAAAAGACAGCUACACUGAA